GGAGUUGAGUGGGACUUGUCUGUCCUCAGGAGAUGCUAGUAAGCUGUAGGCAACUGUGAGAGGAGUGGAUGGCACUUCAGGAGGCUUCCUGCUGUUUCUCUCAGCUUUGCACGUCUACACACCUCCCCACUCACAUGAUACAGAGGUCAGAUGCCAGAGGUGGGAGGGAGGAUGGACGGAUUCCAGCUUUCCAGAAGCAGCAUGCUGUGCUGAGUGGAACGGUCCUAUGGAGGUGGUAGUGUGCAACUCGGCUUAGGCAGCCCUGAAUGGAGUGGAGGAAGAGGACAUCUAUCGGUCUGAGGCCAGCAAGAAGAGAAACGUGGUGGGGAGGACAGGAAUGAAGGAAGGAAGAAAACAGAAGGCCCUGUAAAGUAGCUUAGUUGUCACUUGCUAGCAAUGCAGUCUUUGACGUCAGUCUUAGACAUAAUGUCAGUGACUAGUUAUCUUUUUGACACUGACUCCCAUUUUGGCUCUGAAUCCUCUUAUCCGACUCAGUUCCGCCUUCCACCUUGAAGCCCCAGAAACGAAUGAAUUCCUUCUUCUGCCAAACACUGUCCUGCAUGUCACACCCUUCCACACAUACCUCACAGAUCACCUACACAACAUGGACUCUACCAUCUGAACACAAAAUAAAGCUUUCUCCAACACACCCUUCUCCAUAGUGGUACAUGCCAUUGACAUCUCCUGUUGUAUGGUUGUUAGGGAACAACAGAAAAGAAGAGACUGACUGUAUGCAUUUAAUAAAGAAUGACAUGAC